UACGAAGGGGGCUAGCGUUGUUCGGAUUUACUGGGCGUAAAGGGCGCGUAGGCGGAUUUUUAAGUCAGGGGUGAAAUCCCAAGGCUCAACCUUGGAACUGCCUUUGAUACUGGGGAUCUUGAGUCCGGGAGAGGUGAGUGGAACUGCGAGUGUAGAGGUGAAAUUCGUAGAUAUUCGCAAGAACACCAGUGGCGAAGGCGGCUCACUGGCCCGGAACUGACGCUGAGGCGCGAAAGCGUGGGGAGCAAACAGG
rnacentral:rRNA from 1 species